AACGACUCUCGGCAACGGAUAUCUCGGCUCUCGCAUCGAUGAAGAACGUAGCGAAAUGCGAUACUUGGUGUGAAUUGCAGAAUCCCGUGAACCAUCGAGUCUUUGAACGCAAGUUGCGCCCGAAGCCACUCGGCCGAGGGCACGCCUGCCUGGGCGUCACGC
rnacentral:rRNA from 1 species